rnacentral:rRNA from 1 species
GACGAACGCUGGCGGCGUGCCUAAUACAUGCAAGUAGAACGCUGAAGCGAGGAGCUUGCUCUUCUUGGAUGAGUUGCGAACGGGUGAGUAACGCGUAGGUAACCUGCCUUGUAGCGGGGGAUAACUAUUGGAAACGAUAGCUAAUACCGCAUAACAAUGGAUGACACAUGUCAUUUAUUUGAAAGGGGCAAUUGCUCCACUACAAGAUGGACCUGCGUUGUAUUAGCUAGUAGGUGAGGUAAUGGCUCACCUAGGCGACGAUACAUAGCCGACCUGAGAGGGUGAUCGGCCACACUGGGACUGAGACACGGCCCAGACUCCUACGGGAGGCAGCAGUAGGGAAUCUUCGGCAAUGGGGGCAACCCUGACCGAGCAACGCCGCGUGAGUGAAGAAGGUUUUCGGAUCGUAAAGCUCUGUUGUAAGUCAAGAACGGGUGUGGGAGUGGAAAGUUCACACUGUGACGGUAGCUUACCAGAAAGGGACGGCUAACUACGUG